rnacentral:SRP_RNA from 1 species
CCGUGCUAGACGGGGAGGUAGCGGUGCCCUGUACCUGCGACCCGCUAGAGCAGGGUUGAAUUCCUGCCCCCGGCCUUCGUCCUUUCAGGGUCUGCUCCCGGUAAGUGGUGAUGAGCUCCUGGUCCCGUGCGGCGCAUGGCUAUGAACCCCGUCAGGUCCGGGAGGAAGCAGCGGUAAAUGGUUUUAUGCGGGUGCCAUGGGAGCGCUGGGAAGGAGCAAACUGUCCGGAUAACGCUUGGGAGGCGGGGUCAAAGGCAGGUGCACGG